rnacentral:sRNA from 1 species
CACUGCCCCAGAUGGAAGUGGAAACCCCACAGGGCUAAAUCCUAUUUUUUCUUGUACCAAAAGAGCGACCAGCGGAAGCUCCUUUUGGUACAUUAGAAAAAAAGGAGAUAGACCGAGGAGUUGGAACGGACAGCUGGAUCAGGC